rnacentral:tRNA from 1 species
AAGGCUUUAGCUUAAUUAAAGUGCCUGCUUUGCACGUAGGAGAUGUGGGUUAAUAUCCCGCUAGUCUUA